rnacentral:rRNA from 1 species
UACGUAGGUGGCAAGCGUUAUCCGGAUUUACUGGGUGUAAAGGGAGCGCAGGCGGUUCUGCAAGUCUGAUGUGAAAGCCCGGGGCUCAACCGCGGGACUGCAUUGGAAACUGCGGGACUGGAGUGUCGGAGGGGUAAGCGGAAUUCCUGGUGUAGCGGUGAAAUGCGUAGAUAUUAGGAGGAACACCAGUGGCGAAGGCGGUCUGCUGGACAGCAACUGACGCUGAGGCUCGAAGGUGCGGGUAUCGA